rnacentral:lncRNA from 1 species
GAGAGAGAGAGAGAAUAAAAAAGUAAAAGAAGAAGAAUUAAAACACUAGAAAAGCUUUCAAAGAGUUGUAGUCGAAUGCAUAGCCAUUUACCGAUAGACUUUGAAAAGGACUCUCUUUUUAUUUUAUUUUCAUUAAACAAAAACAGGGGAGACAGAAACCGAGAUAUGUCUUAAAUGGAAUAUUCAAAAGAAAAAAAAAUCGAAUUGGUCAAAAUAAAUAAUUUCAUUUUUUAUAUUAUAUAAUAAAUAUAUAUUAUUUAUUGAUAAUAAAA